rnacentral:rRNA from 1 species
GACAGAGGGUGCGAACGUUGUUCGGAAUUACUGGGCGUAAAGCGCGUGUAGGCGGCUUGGCAAGUCGGAUGUGAAAGCCCAGGGCUCAACCCUGGAAGUGCACUCGAAACUGCUGAGCUGGAGUCCCGGAGAGGAAGGCGGAAUUCUCGGUGUAGAGGUGAAAUUCGUAGAUAUCGAGAGGAACACCUGUGGCGAAGGCGGCCUUCUGGACGGUGACUGACGCUGAGACGCGAAAGCGUGGGGAGCAAACAGG